GUGCACCAGGCGCGAAUUUGGGCAAUGGCCGAAAGGCUGACCCAGCGACGCUGCGUGUGGGAUGAAGCCCUUCGGGGGCGUAAACCACUUUUCAGAAGGACGAGGGUUCAUCCGGCGAAUACCCGGACGGAUUGACGGUACUUCUGGAAUAAGCUCUGGCUAACCCCGUGCCAGCAGCCGCGGUAAGACGGGGGAGCAAGCGUUGCCCGGAAUCAUUGGGCUUAAAGGGGGCGUAGGCGGUUAGGUGUGGUCAGACGUGUAAACUAUCGGCUCAACCGAUAGCCUGCGUUUGAAACUACCUAGCUCGAAGGGCGAAAGAGGAGAGCGGAACUCCCGGUGUAGCGGUGAAAUGCGUAGAUA
rnacentral:rRNA from 1 species